rnacentral:rRNA from 1 species
UACGUAGGGUGCAAGCGUUAAUCGGAAUUACUGGGCGUAAAGAGUGCGCAGGCGGUUGUGCAAGACAGAUGUGAAAUCCCCGGGCUUAACCUGGGAACUGCAUUUGUGACUGCACGGCUAGAGUGUGUCAGAGGGGGGUAGAAUUCCACGUGUAGCAGUGAAAUGCGUAGAUAUGUGGAGGAAUACCGAUGGCGAAGGCAGCCCCCUGGGAUAACACUGACGCUCAUGCACGAAAGCGUGGGGAGCAAACAGG